rnacentral:rRNA from 1 species
AGGUGCUGCAGUGGUUGUCGUCAGCUCGUGCCGUGAGGUGUCGGGUUAAGUCCCAAUAACGAGCGCAACCCCCUACUGCUAGUUGCCAGCGGGUCAUGCCGGGGACUCUAGCGGAACUGCCAGCGUAAGCUGCGAGGAAGGUGGGGAUGACGUCAAAUCAGCACGGCCCUUACGUCCAGGGCUACACACGUGUUACAAUGGCCAGUACAGAGGGCAGCCACCCCGCGAGGGGGCGCUAAUCCUAAAAGCUGGUCCCAGUUCGGAUCGGAGUCUGCAACCCGACUCCGUGAAGCUGGAUUCGCUAGUAAUCGCGCAUCAGCCACGGCGCGGUGAAUACGUUCCCGGGCCUU